rnacentral:rRNA from 1 species
UGAACGCUAGCUACAGGCUUAACACAUGCAAGUCGAGGGGAAACGACAUCGAAAGCUUGCUUUUGAUGGGCGUCGACCGGCGCACGGGUGAGUAACGCGUAUCCAACCUGCCCACCACUUGGGGAUAACCUUGCGAAAGUAAGACUAAUACCCAAUGACGUCUCUAGAAGACAUCUGAAAGAGAUUAAAGAUUUAUCGGUGAUGGAUGGGGAUGCGUCUGAUUAGCUUGUUGGCGGGGUAACGGCCCACCAAGGCUACGAUCAGUAGGGGUUCUGAGAGGAAGGUCCCCCACAUUGGAACUGAGACACGGUCCAAACUCCUACGGGAGGCAGCAGUGAGGAAUAUUGGUCAAUGGACGAGAGUCUGAACCAGCCAAGUAGCGUGCAGGAUGACGGCCCUAUGGGUUGUAAACUGCUUUUAUAAGGGAAUAAAGUGAGUCUCGUGAGGCUUUUUGCAUGUACCUUAUGAAUAGGGACCGGCUAAUUCCGUGCCAGCAGCCGCGGUAAUACGGAAGGUCCGGGCGUUAUCCGGAUUUAUUGGGUUUAAAGGGAGCGUAGGCCGGAGAUUAAGCGUGUUGUGAAAUGUAGACGCUCAACGUCUGCACUGCAGCGCGAACUGGUUUCCUUGAGUACGCACAAAGUGGGCGGAAUUCGUGGUGUAGCGGUGAAAUGCUUAGAUAUCACGAAGAACUCCGAUUGCGAAGGCAGCUCACUGGAGCGCAACUGACGCUGAAGCUCGAAAGUGCGGGUAUCGAACAGGAUUAGAUACCCUGGUAGUCC